CACGUAGGGGGCAAGCGUUGUCCGGAUUUAUUGGGCGUAAAGAGCUCGUAGGCGGCUCGGUAAGUCGGGUGUGAAACCUCCAGGCUCAACCUGGAGACGCCACCUGAUACUGCUGUGGCUAGAGUCCGGUAGGGGAGUGUGGAACUCCUGGUGUAGCGGUGAAAUGCGUAGAGAUGUGGAGGAACACCGAUGGCGAAGGCAGCCCCCUGGGCUAACACUGACGCUCAUGCACGAAAGCGUGGGGAGCAAACAGG
rnacentral:rRNA from 1 species